AUUGAACGCUGGCGGCAGGCUUAACACAUGCAAGUCGAGCGGAGAUGAGGUGCUUGCACCUUAUCUUAGCGGCGGACGGGUGAGUAAUGCUUAGGAAUCUGCCUAUUAGUGGGGGACAACAUUCCGAAAGGAAUGCUAAUACCGCAUACGUCCUACGGGAGAAAGCAGGGGAUCUUCGGACCUUGCGCUAAUAGAUGAGCCUAAGUCGGAUUAGCUAGUUGGUGGGGUAAAGGCCUACCAAGGCGACGAUCUGUAGCGGGUCUGAGAGGAUGAUCCGCCACACUGGGACUGAGACACGGCCCAGACUCCUACGGGAGGCAGCAGUGGGGAAUAUUGGACAAUGGGGGAAACCCUGAUCCAGCCAUGCCGCGUGUGUGAAGAAGGCCUUAUGGUUGUAAAGCACUUUAAGCGAGGAGGAGGCUACUGAGACUAAUACCCUUGGAUAGUGGACGUUACUCGCAGAAUAAGCACCGGCUAACUCUGUGCCAGCCGCCGCUGUAA
rnacentral:rRNA from 1 species